rnacentral:rRNA from 1 species
GAGUUUGAUCCUGGCUCAGGAUGAACGCUGGCGGCGUGCCUAAUACAUGCAAGUCGAACGAGGACCCCUGAAAUCACUUCGGUGGUGGACGGGAAUUCCUAGUGGCGGACGGGUGCGUAACACGUUGGUGACCUACCCCGAAGUGGGGAAUAACGUUUCGAAAGGAACGCUAAUACCGCAUGUGGUCGUGAGGAUUAGAAGCCUCGCGCACUAAAGAUUUAUCGCUUCGGGAGGGGCCUGCGGCCCAUCAGCUUGUUGGUGUGGUAAUGGCUCACCAAGGCGAUGACGGGUAGGGGACCUGAGAGGGUGAUCCCCCACACUGGAACUGAAACACGGUCCAGACACCUGCGGGUGGCAGCAGUAGGGAAUAUUGCACAAUGGGCGCAAGCCUGAUGCAGCAACGCCGCGUGCGCGAUGAAGGCCUUCGGGUCGUAAAGCGCUUUUCUGAGGGAUGAGAAAGGACAGUACCUCAGGAAUCAGUCACGGCUAACUACGUGCCAGCAGCCGCGGUAAAACGUGGGUGGCAAGCGUUAUCCGGAUUUACUGGGCGUAAAGCGCGUGUAGGCGGUUCGGUUAGUCGGGCAUGAAAGCUCCUGGCUCAACUAGGAGAGGCUGUCCGAUACUACCGGACUUGAGGACGAGAGAGGGAGGUGGAAUUCCCGGUGUAGUGGUGAAAUGCGUAGAUAUCGGGAGGAACACCAGUGGCGAAGGCGGCCUCCUGGCUCGUUUCUGACGCUCAGACGCGAAAGCAUGGGUAGCGAACGGGAUUAGAAACCCCGGUAGUCCAUGCUGUAAACGAUGCCCACUAGGUGUAGGAGGUAUUGACCCCUUCUGUGCCGAAGCUAACGCGAUAAGUGGACCGCCUGGGGACUACGAUCGCAAGAUUAAAACUCAAAGGAAUUGACGGGGACCCGCACAAGCAGCGGAGCGUGUGGUUUAAUUCGAGGCUACGCGAAGAACCUUACCAGGGUUUGACAUGCAGGUAGUAGGAAAGCGAAAGCGGACCGACCCUUCGGGGAGCUUGCACAGGUGAUGCAUGGCUGUCGUCAGCUCGUGCCGUGAGGUGUUCGGUUAAGUCCGGUAACGAGCGCAACCCCUGUUGUGUGUUAUACGUGUCACACGAGACUGCCGGUUUCAUGCCGGAGGAAGGAGGGGAUGACGUCAAGUCAGCAUGUCCUUUAUAUCCUGGGCUACACACACGCUACAAUGGCCGGGACAAUGGGUCGCCAAGCCGCGAGGCGGAGCCAAUCCUCCAAACCCGGUCUCAGUUCGGAUUGCAGGCUGCAACUCGCCUGCAUGAAGUCGGAGUUGCUAGUAAACGCGCGUCAGCAACAGUGCGUUGAAUACGUUCCCGGGUCUUGUACACACCGCCCGUCACGUCAUGGAAGCUGGCAACACCUGAAGCCGGUGGCCUAACCCUAACGGGAGGGAGCCGUCCAAGGUGGGGUUGGUGACUGGGACGAAGUCGUAACAAGGUAACC